rnacentral:rRNA from 1 species
UACGUAGGGGGCGAGCGUUGUCCGGAUUUAUUGGGCGUAAAGAGCUCGUAGGCGGUUCGGUAAGUCGACUGUGAAAUCUCCACGCUCAACGUGGAGGGGUCAUUCGAAACUGCCGUGACUUGAGUACGGUAGGGGAGUGUGGAAUUCCCGGUGUAGCGGUGAAAUGCGCAGAGAUCGGGAGGAACACCCGUAGCGAAGGCGGCACUCUGGGCCGAUACUGACGCUGAGGAGCGAAAGCGUGGGGAGCAAACAGG